GACAGAGGUGCCGAGCGUUAGGCGGAAUCACUAGGGCUUAAAGCGUGUGUAGGCGGAUGGGUAAGUACCUUGUGAAAUCCCACGGCUCAACCGUGGAACUGCUCGGUAUACUGCUCGUCUUGAGCCAACUAGGGGCGACCGGAACAAACGGUGGAGCGGAUGAAAUGCGUAGAAUAUCGUUUGGAACGCCGAUGGAUGAAACAGGUCGCUGGGGUUGUGCUGACGCUGAGACACGAAAGCCAGGGGAGCGAACGGG
rnacentral:rRNA from 1 species